GUGCCAGCAGCCGCGGUAAUACGUAGGUGGCGAGCGUUGUCCGGAAUUAUUGGGCGUAAAGAGCGCGUAGGCGGGUAAAUAAGUCUGUUUUAAAAGUGCGGGGCUCAACCCCGUGAUGGAAUGGAAACUGUUUAUCUUGAGUACCGGAGAGGAAAGUGGAAUUCCCAGUGUAGCGGUGAAAUGCGUAGAUAUUGGGAGGAACACCAGUGGCGAAGGCGACUUUCUGGACGGUGUCUGACGCUGAGGCGCGAAAGCCAGGGAAGUGAACGGAUUAGAUACCCGGUAAUCCUGGCCGUAAACGAUGGGUACUAGGUGUAGAGGGUAUCGACCCUUCUGUGCCGGAGUUAACGCAAUAA
rnacentral:rRNA from 1 species